CUCAAACAUUAUUCUCCAGGCCCCAUUUUCUCUCUCGCCCUAUCUCAAAGGUGAUGUUCAGACCCAAGACAUGUCCAAGAGUUUUGGGUUUCAUAAUAGAGAAUUGGGGCACUUGAAAAGAGUUGAUGCUUGAGAUGAUGAGGAAGUUUAUGCGCACAUUUGGGACUUUUCAAUGAAGAGAGAAUUUCGAAGCUCAAGAAGGGAGUCUUGAUUGUUAACAAUGCACUGGGAAAAAUCAUGGACACAGAAGCUGUUGUAGAUUCUUGCAAGAGUGGACAUAUAGCAGGUAACUCAAGAUCAAGUCAAAACUGGAUGUUCAAAAAUGGAGAAACAUGUUUGUGCAAUACUUAGCCGAAGAUUUCUACAAGGACGAUAUGAAUGGAAAAAAUUUUCGCCAUCAAAGUUGUUACAAUUUGUGUAGCAAUAGUUGGGUGACGUUUGAUGAUCCACCACUAGAAAACUUUGGUCCAUCACCGGUGCAAAGAAACUCCCUAUUUCCUUGGAGGAUGAUGAAGAGCCAAACGGAUCUACUUCGACACCAACUUCGACUCCGGAUUCCCUUCCUAGACCAAUGAGACGAAAUAUGGCAAGAAAACAUAAAUUGAAGGCCAAAAGAAAAGGAGGAGAAAGUCUUUCAAGAAAAAUUAUUGGCUAACAUAGAGCAAAUGAGGGAAGAAAACAUCAAAGCGGAAGAGGCAAAAGCCAUAAGAGAGAAAAUGAAGGAGGAUCGACGAGAGAGGAAGAGGGAAGAAGCCAUUGUAAUGAUGCAAACCGUUGAUUUUACUCCAAGGAGCAAGGCAUAUUUUGAUGGGAAGAAGAGGGAAGCUCUUGAAAGGCUAAGGGCACGUGAGUUGUUUCCUAAUUCCGCCACAACAUCCAAUGACUGCCAUCCACGUAUGGCAACCAAAGAUGACUAUCAUCCACGUAUGGCAUCCGAAGAUGACGAAUAGUUUGGUUAUUUUAUCAAUUCGGUCAAUGUUUUCUUAAUAAAUUGUUCAAGUUAUGUAGAAAUGUAGGCGGUCGAAUUUGUUUUAUGUCAAUG